rnacentral:tRNA from 1 species
AGAGGCCAUAGCUCAUUGGUAGAGCAUCUGAUUUGCAUGCAUAAGAUCCCAGGUUCCAUCCCUGACAUCUCUA